rnacentral:rRNA from 1 species
UACAGAGGUCCCGAGCGUUGUUCGGAUUUAUUGGGCGUAAAGAGCUCGUAGGCGGCUUGCUAAGUCAGGUGUGAAACCUCCAGGCUCAACCUGGAGCCGCCACCUGAUACUGGUAUGGCUAGAGUCCGGUAGGGGACCACGGAAUUCCUGGUGUAGCGGUGAAAUGCGCAGAUAUCAGGAGGAACACCGGUGGCGAAGGCGGGUCUCUGGGCCACUACUGACGCUGAGAAGCGAAAGCAUGGGGAGCGAACAGG